rnacentral:sRNA from 1 species
AAAAAUACAAAAAAAAUUGUAU